rnacentral:rRNA from 1 species
UCCAGACUCCUACGGGAGGCAGCAGUGAGGAAUAUUGGUCAAUGGGCUUACGCCUGAACCAGCCAAGUCGCGUGAGGGAAGACUGCCCUAUGGGUUGUAAACCUCUUUUGUCAGGGAGCAAUUGGCGCUACGUGUAGCGUUAUCGAGAGUACCUGAAGAAAAAGCAUCGGCUAACUCCGUGCCAGCAGCCGCGGUAAUACGGAGGAUGCGAGCGUUAUCCGGAUUUAUUGGGUUUAAAGGGUGCGUAGGCGGAAUGGCAAGUCAGCGGGAAAAUCGCGGGGCUCAACCUCGGUCCGCCGUUGAAACUGGCGUUCUUGAGUGGGCGAGAAGUAUGCGGA